rnacentral:rRNA from 1 species
AGCGACUAAGCGUACACGGUGGAUGCCCUGGCAGUCAGAGGCGAUGAAGGACGUGCUAAUCUGCGAUAAGCGUCGGUGAGGUGAUAUGAACCGUUAUAACCGGCGAUUUCCGAAUGGGGAAACCCAGUGUGUUUCGACACACUAUCAUUAACUGAAUCCAUAGGUUAAUGAGGCGAACCGGGGGAACUGAAACAUCUAAGUACCCCGAGGAAAA